UUUCUGCAUCAAUAUCCGUUUUGAACCUUUCUCUGUCGGUCUAUAACAAUUUUUGUUUCAUUUUGCCCGAAAUGAGAUUCACCUCAUGAGAUGAGCAGGUCACAACAAUGUACUUGUGUUUUUAAUUUUACGAGAAUUGUAAGUUGUCCGCUGAUGGCUUAGUGGUAUGUCGUUUAGCCUGUCUCGAUAAGUAUUUGAGUUCAAAUCCAGUUGAACUCAUGUUUUGUAGCAGACUCACAAUAUUUUUUUUCCUUUAUUUAUUCUGAAUAUUUUUUAUUUUUUUUAUACCUCCAUGUGCAAAAUCCGUUUACAAGUAUAAGAAAAUAUUGCCAUGUUGAAACUGGCUCGAAAAGAUUAAGUUAAUCAUUCCAUAUUGUCUAAUUUUGCAAGGAUUUGACGCGGCACUUGCCGUUCGAUAGUAACUUCUAGUUUUAGUUGAC
rnacentral:lncRNA from 1 species